GCAAACUUGGUCAUUUAGAGGAAGUAAAAGUCGUAACAAGGUCUCCGUUGGUGAACCAGCGGAGGGAUCAUUACCGAGUUUCCGAACUCCCAACCCACUGUGAACAUUACCUUUACGUUGCUUCGGCGCGUGCGCUCCCUCGCGGGCGCCCGCCGAGGGACAACCAAACUCUUUUUUUGAAACCUGGAACUCUGAUUGUAUUACAAAAAAAAUGAAUCAAAACUUUCAACAACGGAUCUCUUGGUUCUGGCAUCGAUGAAGAACGCAGC
rnacentral:misc_RNA from 1 species